AAAAACGAUUGCAGCAGAAAGAUUGUCUCUUGUUAACCGAUAUUUGGAUUUAAACGGUGUUCAUUUCAUUGAAAAAAUACGUGAAUUCGGUGAAUUUAUGUGUUAAAAACGUUUACUUACCACAGCACAGCAAUAUUCCUGGGGAUGUUGCUGUGCAGAAAGUACAAUAUAAAAAUAUAUUAAUUCCAUCUAGCAAGAUCUUCAUGUUACCAAAGUAUUCACAAGUUAAGAGAGAACCAGACGUGAAAAGCAGUUGAAAAACGAUAAAAUAAAGACAGCAUUUGGAUUUUCGUGGAAGUCUUGUCAUGCAAGAGACUGGGCACCAACCCUGUUGGGAAGUCUAGGCAGGUGAUGAUGGGUUGCAUAGCUGACAUAUUCAACAACAUAUCUAAAGGGAAUAAAACAUUCUUGUCUUUGUCAUCAGCAUGUAGAAAAAUACUCCAGCAUUACAUCAGUACUAAGAUAUGUAAAGACAGAAAUUCUAAAUUUAAACCUACUGAAAACUAUAUUAUCAAACUCGAUGGUCCGGUAUUACCAAAAAGGAUGUAUUGUGGCUAUAAUUCUCUUUUUACAGAGCCAUAUAUUGGUCAUCGCACAAUUUAAUGCCAUAAGUGUUGCAAGUUCGGUUACAUGGAGUCAUGAGUCAUUUGUAAAGACUCACUAAGUUUAAACCUAAAGAAACUUAAUAAAAUGAUAUGACUAAAAGGCUGGCCUAUACUUCAGCCAAAGAACGUGCAUUGCCAUUCAGCGUGGUAAUGCAGUCAGCCUUUUGGGCACCAUCUAACAGCGAUGUGGAUGAGUUUUUUGAUGUAUAGUUUUAAUUUUAUUAUUUUUAAAUAUGUAGAUUUAAUUUGUAAUUGUAAAUAUCUAUGUUUUUUUAAAUAUUAUAUUGUUUCUGUAUUCCUAAUAACAAUACUUUGCUGUUAUUAUGUGAAAUCGAUAUGCAAGCAUCUAUGUGGAGUUUCUAUGUAUAUAAAACAUUGCUGAAAAGUUCUUCUAAAAUACAGACAGAUUUGUUUUGCUGGGGAGAUUCUUAUGGCCCUUUCCUCCCAGCAAAAACGUAGCAAAUGGUGAAGGGAAGGUUUUGGGGGCUGUCUUUUGUAAAUUUUGACUUUCGAAAAGUGCUGUGUUGCAGUCAAUUUUGCGUUUGAGUUCAAUAGACAAGUUCUACCAAAAAAGAUGUAUUGUAGCUAUAGACCUCUGUUUACAGAGCCAUAUAUUGCUCAUUGCACAAUUCAGUACCGUAAGUGUUGUAAGUUUGAUCACAUGGAUGAAGUUGUAUGUGCCACAAUCAAUGUGGUACCGCGGUAAAUCAAAUCGUUCAUAUUCUUUGUAAAAUAACUAUUUGAUUUUAAGGUGGACCCGUGGACCAUCAUUUGUAAAUACAGAAUCACCGAAUUUAUUGAUACUGUAUUAAAUUCAAUGGUCAGAUAUGAUAAAAUUGUAUUGUUUAUAUGUAUACUGAUUUGGUUAUGUGGAGUUUAUGUGCAGAUUUGAGCUACUUUGUAUUAUAUACUAAGAUUUGUCAAGGCAACAUUGCUGAAUUUAAACCUAUCGAAACAUCAUAACAGUUGAUAGUCAGGUAUUAUCAAAAAGUAUUGUAUCUCUACCAGGCCUCUGCCGCUCGAUAAUUAAAUAUCUAAGCAGGGAAAUAAAGGAGACUUGCCGUAGUAUGCUAGCUAUAAUCUGCUUUAAAGAAAGUGAGGAAGUUUUGAACAAAUUUCAGCCCCUGCAGAAUGGUUUGGUUAUGGCUCGAAAGGGGGCUGUGAUCCUGCCACUCCCUGUCGACCUACCUAAAUUAUGUGAAAGGAGAUAUAUCGAACGCUGUUGAUCGAAUCCGACUGUAUUGUCUUUCGUUUCGAUAUUGUUGGUGGCAAUGCCACGUCUUUCGAGGGCCGCUUCCGGUCGCUGUCUCCCCAAAGGCCCUUCUCGGGGCUAAUCCAAAGGCCCUUCUCAGGGCUAACCUAUGCCCCGAGAUGCUUCGGCAACUGAGACCAGCCGCGCGCCAUUCGCGGCUAGUCUCAUCCGAGGAAGCUACAUGGUGUCACGUGUCAUCGUGUGAAUCGAGCAGCGUAUCAACCCGCCAGACAAUUAGGAGGGCCUUCCUUAAGCGGGGCUCCGGAGACUCUUCGAAACCUUAAGGGGACAUUUAAGAAGGCCCUGAAAUGCCGGGCAGCGAGCUUGCUCGGCAUUGUGAAGGAGUUGGCGCAGCGCACCACCUCCAAGGCAACUGCAGGCGAAGGUGGAUCGUCUGCAGAAAGAGGAAUCCGCGCUGCACGCGUUGCGGAGCCCACGACUCGGCCUGAAGGGACGUCGGAAGGUCCAGCGACGGUGCUCCUGCAGGAGAAGCAGCUUCGCCCUCCACUCGCGGCGGAUAGGGAGCUUGAAAGGAUGCCCAUCGCACCGGGGUCCUCAACGGCACCAGCCCUGUCGACGCCUUAGGUGCUAAAGAUCACAUGCAAGGGAAAGGGCUAGCUAGAAGACUUCUGCGGCUCUGUCUGCCCAGGCGGUCCCUCCCGAAACGGUGAGGGAAGACCCACUGCUGCCCUCCACCACCCCUUCCAACCAGCCUUGGAUUAAGGUGGCACCGAGAAAUCGGAACGGGAAGAAGUCGGCUCCUGAGCUCCCUGCAGCCAAGCCUGCAGCUUUAGAGCAAGCUUUAGAGGACAAGAGGAGGAAGCUCGCUUCUCCUCCAAGAACCGCAGCCGUGGUAGUCACGUUGACCCCAGAGGCAGCGGAACGAGGGGAGAUGUAUAAGUCCGCCCUGCGGCGGGCUCGUUCAAACCUUGCGCUGCGGAACUUGGGCCUGGCAGAGUCAUGUGCCGGAAGACCUAAACGUAGGCUCGUAUUUUCGAGUUCUCGGGGGACCAAGGCGGCACCUAGGCGGACCUCUUCGCGACGAAGCUCCGAGAGGCUAUCGCGGACACGGACAAGGUUGUGAGGCCCGUCAAGUGUGUGACUCUAGAGGUGACCGACCUCGACGACUCGGUUACGCAAGAAGAGGUGGUGGCAGCGGUUGCGCCGGCGGGGCGCUGCGCCGUUGCAUCUGUCAAAGGCCGAGCCAUCAGACCAUUUAAGGACACUUUGCUGGCAGAAACUAGAAAAGAAAUACCCAAAAUUUUCAGUUGUCUUUGGCAGUGGUACAGACAUCGGGCCUGUGAUUUUUAGUUCGGCAAUUUACCCGAUGAUUCGGUAACUAAAUUCUGAAUUUAACGUUUGGUAUCUCGACAGUGGGACUCGCAACAGAGACCGUACAAAAUUAUUUAAUUUUUGUAAAAGAUAAAUUCUAUAGCAUUGUUCUCGAUCUCGACUUUUCUAAAUACGAACUUUCAUAUCCGACAAUAGCCCCUGACAUCAAACAUAUAGACUAAAGUUCUUUUUGGUUCCUUGAAUCACCAAUAAUAACCUACACGGAGAUUCAUUUUCGGAGAAGAACAUUCAAAAUUUUAAUAAUGUUUCGGAAAGGCUAUACAAAAUUAAUAUGCAUUCAGCCACCACUUGUACCAUGUAGAUGCACCCUUGUUUCAAUAAAGUUGUAUUUCUUAUAUAAA